rnacentral:lncRNA from 10 species
AAAAAAAGGAAGGAGUGUAGCCUACUUGAGCCUCUGGGAGUACAGCCCAGCAGACACCUUGAUUUCAGACUCUGGCCUCCAGGAUGGUGAGAGAAGAAACGAUUGUCUUUUGUUCAUUUGUUUUUGAGAGAGGGUCACAGCUUACUGCCAUCUUGACCUCCCUGGGCUCAGGUGAUCCUCCCACCUCUGCCUCCCGAGUAGCUGGGAGUACAGGUGUGCACCACCACACCAGGUCAUUUUUGUAUUUUUUUGUAGAGAUGGAGUUUUGCCAUGUUGCCCGGGCUGGUCUUGAACUCCUGAGCUCAAGCAGUCCUCCCGUCUUGGCCUCACAAAGUGCUGGGAUUACAGGUGUCAGCCACCAUGCCCGGCCCAUUUCUAUUGUUUUAAGCCAUCAAGUUUGGGUGGCAUCAUUUGUCACAGCUGCCACAGGAUACUAACACACCCAGAGACAGAAGACGGGAGGACAUAACUGCAUUAACACUGAGCUAGGAUCUGCACGCCUCAGGACUCUGCUCCCAGGACUACGGACCUCUGCGCCGAGUCAGAAGAACAGUUUCAGGAACCCGCUUGGAUAGUAGGGAGUGGAAAUGACCCCAGGUGUGACCAACUGAAACAGGAGAGUGCUGACGCCACCCAGUUUUGGGAGCCCCUUCCUGCUAGGACGUAUCCUGAGUUGUGAAACCAACCCUGCUUCCACCCAUCCCUCCCCUCUGAGCUGUGGGUCCCGGGCCCGCGGGUCCUGCCCACCUCUCCCGGAAGACAGGUACCUCGUCCAAUGGGAAAUAUGGCACAGAGUCCUCAUCGCCCUGCUCUAUGGGCUUCCCUCCAAAUGCAACAUUGACAGUGCUGGUAUAGAUGAGCCUUGGAACCCGCCGGCGAACACAGACUGCAGCAGCAGGUGCACAUAGCAACAAAUAAACACACACACACAUGCAAAGACACAGACACACACGGGACACAAGUGAGCAUAGAGUCGGCUGAGGAGGUGUCAUGCAGAUCUCUACCAAGUUUUCAACACACAACUUGGACCCCCAGGACCCUCCCAGAAUCUACAGCUGUUCAGGAGGGAAGAGUCUCCUGCCCUUAACUUAGGGUGCAGGUCAAGUUCCUGCUCUGUGGGCCCCUGGGAGCCAGGUCUGCUCCUUAUUCUUUCUCAUUGUGGCUUGGACCCCUGGGCUACCUUGCCAGAGACAGGUCAGAAGAAGGUCUCACUGGAUGGAGACUUAGAAAAAGACACUCUAGAAUCAAAGACAUACGGGAUAAGGCAGGACAUGCCCAGGCAGCCCACACAUGGGUCUGCGAUUUUGGUGCUUUAGUAACUUUUUAUUUAUCUGUUUGUUUAUUUAUUUAUUUAUUUAUUUAUUGAGACGGAGUUUCACUCUUGUUGCCCAGGCUGGAGUGCAAUGGCGCGAUCUCGGCUCACCACAACUUCCCCCUCCCAGGUUCAAGCGAUUCUCCUGCCUCAGCCUCCCGAGUAGCUGGGAUUACAGGCAUGCGCCACCACGCCCCGCUAAUUUUGUAGUUUUAGUAGAGAUGGGAUCUCUUCGUGUUGGUCAGUCUAGCCCCGAACUCCCGACCUCAGGUGAUCCACCUGCCUCGGCCUCCCAAAGUGC